rnacentral:tRNA from 1 species
GAAAAGAUAAUUUAUCAUUAAAAUAUAACACUGAAAAUGUUAAAAAGACCUAAGUCUCUUUUCA